UGUAGAGAUGUUGACUGUGUUAUGGAUAGCAUGUGGUAGCUUAUGUUAGCGAUUCCUUGCAGAACGGCACGUUAAGAGAAACCUUGUGACUGACAUUUGGUUGGCGUCGCCCCUCUACAGGCGAAAGCUUGAGUGAGCUGGAAUUGAGCUUGGGUAUCCGUUGCGAAUAUUUUGGGGGUUGGCUGUGUGUGUACCAUAUAAACUGAACAAGUUGUCCCUCGCACAUUUGCACGAUUACCUGACCCACGGAGUCACGAGAUCGGAUGUGUACGGUACGUGGGUUAAAACCUCGUCCCUGUUAGCCAGUGGAAGGUGUCACUAACACAUUCUAUUUAGAGUUGAUGACGAUCUUGCGGCUUUUGGCGACUUACGUGAACUCCGCCUACAGAUUGUUGCACGAGCCGCAGCCGUCCCGACAUUCAUCUGUUGUUGCUUAUCAGGGGUGGGGAGAUUAUUCAUGAUUGGCCGUGCCUCUACCAACGAGUAGUUUUUACGUUUUGGAGCUACCUGAGAGUUAUCCGGAG